UAAUGGCCGAGCGCGAAGUACCGUACAGCGGAAUGAAGAUCAUAGCCCUCCUAUUCGCAGGAUGUUCAUGGUGAAGGAAGAGGAGGGGAGAGGUCGAUACUUCGGAACGUGUUCGAAAACUUGUUGGAGAACUGUCAUAUUAUUUUACGCGUAAAAUAUCUGAUGGCGUUCCGUGUACUUGAACGAUGACAUAUGGAUCUAUAACAUCACCCUUCGCUGAAGAUCUUCGAGGCCUUGGUAAAUGUUGUGCACUUAUAAUCUAGAGGAAACAUCAUGAAGUGUUAAUAUUACUCAAAACUACAGGAAUCCAUGUCAAUUCAUGGUAAUCUACAUACAAUCUGGCACCAACAGUGGGUCAACAAUGACCAACAAUGGGAACUGAUAGAGGUGGAACCAUUUGCACCCUUUAAGGCUGUAAGCUUCUCAUCUCCACCCGGUCCUCCUCUCCGUUAAAUGCUUAUUUAGAUGUCUAUAUGAUUACCUUCCUGGACGUUUUCCUGCCCAGUAUUUUAAUGCUAAGGCAGACAUUAAUGACAAUGAAUGUAGCUUGUAACACUGUAGCGAAUGAAUGUAGGUUACCUUUUAAUUUCUGAAAGAAGGAAAGCCUUAGCACAGUGUGCAGACUUCA